GAACUCCAUACCAGGGCGUGGCACGGUGGUGACGGGCACGCUGGAGCGCGGAACUCUCCGGAAGGGCGACGAGGUGGAGCUGCUGGGCUACGGCCGCACGCUGCGCUCCGUGGUCACCGGGAUUGAGAUGUUCCACAAGAGCCUGGAGGUGGCCGAGGCCGGGGACAACCUGGGGGCGCUGCUGCCCCAUAGAGCCUGAACCCUGCCCCAUAGAGCCUGAACCCUGCCCCAUAGAGCCC